rnacentral:rRNA from 1 species
UCAGGAUGAACGCUGGCGGCGUGCCUAAUACAUGCAAGUCGAACGAGGUAGCAAUACCGAGUGGCGAACGGGUGAGUAACACGUAGGUAACCUGCCCUUAAGCUUGGGAUACCCAGAGGAAACUUGGCUAAUACCGGAUAACAACAGAGAAGGCAUCUUCUUUGCUUGAAAGGCCCUUCAAGGGUCACUUAAGGAUGGACCUGCGGCGCAUUAGCUAGUUGGUGAGAUAACAGCCCACCAAGGCGAGGAUGCGUAGCCGAACUGAGAGGUUGAUCGGCCACAUUGGAACUGAGACACGGUCCAAACUCCUACGGGAGGCAGCAGUAAGGAGUUUUCGGCAAUGGGGGAAACCCUGACCGAGCAACGCCGCGUGAGCGAUGACGGUCCUUUGGAAUUGUAAAGCUCUGUUGUAAGCCAUGAAUGACAGCUUGAGGAAAUGCAAGUUGUUUGACGACAGCUUACCAGAAAGCCACGGCUAACUACGUGCCAGCCGCUGC